rnacentral:rRNA from 1 species
UAAGCGGAGGAAAAGAAACCAACAGGGAUUCCCCCAGUAACGGCGAGCGAAGCGGGAAUAGCUCGAGCCUUAAAUCUCCGGCGCACAGCCGGCGAAUUGUAGCCGAGAGAGGCACCUGCGCUCGGUAGGCGGUCGACCAAAGUUGACCUGGAAAGGCACGUCAGAGA